rnacentral:rRNA from 1 species
UACGGGGGGGGCAAGCGUUGUUCGGAAUUACUGGGCGUAAAGGGCUCGUAGGCGGCCAACUAAGUCAUACGUGAAAUCCCUCAGCUUAACUGGGGAACUGCGUCUGAUACUGGAAAGCUUGAGUGCAGGAGAGGAACGCGGAAUUCCAGGUGUAGCGGUGAAAUGCGUAGAUAUCUGGAGGAACACCGGUGGCGAAGGCGGCGUUCUGGACUGCAACUGACGCUGAGGAACGAAAGCCAGGGGAGCAAACGGG